rnacentral:rRNA from 1 species
GACGAACGCUGGCGGCGUGCUUAACACAUGCAAGUCGAACGGAAAGGCCCUGCUUUUGUGGGGUGCUCGAGUGGCGAACGGGUGAGUAACACGUGAGUAACCUGCCCUUGACUUUGGGAUAACUUCAGGAAACUGGGGCUAAUACCGGAUAGGAGCUCCUGCUGCAUGGUGGGGGUUGGAAAGUUUCGGCGGUUGGGGAUGGACUCGCGGCUUAUCAGCUUGUUGGUGGGGUAGUGGCUUACCAAGGCUUUGACGGGUAGCCGGCCUGGGAGGGUGACCGGCGAAAAUGGGACAGAGAGACGGGCCAGAAGCCUACGGGAGGGAGGAGGGGGGAAUAUUGCACAAUGGGAGGAAGGCGGAGGGAGGAAAGGCGGGUGGGGGAAGAAGGCCUUCGGGGUGGAAACCGAUUUCGCCCGUGACGAAGAGUGAGUGACGGUAAUGGGUAAAGAAGCACCGGCUAACUACGUG